UGGAUAUGAUGAAUCACCAUCUGAUCAUUGUGAUGAAUUGUGAAAAAUUCCUCAGAUAGUCAAGUACUGAUCCAG